rnacentral:rRNA from 1 species
UAGGGAAUCUUCCGCAAUGGGCGAAAGCCUGACGGAGCAACGCCGCGUGAGUGAUGAAGGUCUUCGGAUCGUAAAACUCUGUUAUUAGGGAAGAACAAAUGUGUAAGUAACUAUGCACGUCUUGACGGUACCUAAUCAGAAAGCCACGGCUAACUACGUGCCAGCAGCCGCGGUAAUACGUAGGUGGCAAGCGUUAUCCGGAAUUAUUGGGCGUAAAGCGCGCGUAGGCGGUUUUUUAAGUCUGAUGUGAAAGCCCACGGCUCAACCGUGGAGGGUCAUUGGAAACUGGAAAGAUUGAGUGCAGAAGAGGAAAGUGGAAUUCCAUGUGUAGCGGUGAAACGCGCAGAGAUAUGGAGGAACACCAGUGGCGAAGGCGACUUUCUGGUCUGUAACUGACGCUGAUGUGCGAAAGCGUGGGGAUCAAACAGG